rnacentral:tRNA from 1 species
GGGCGGAUUCCCGAGUGGCCAAAGGGGACAGACUGUAAAUCUGCUGCUAUAUGCUUCGGUGGUUCGAAUCCACCUCCGCCCA